rnacentral:lncRNA from 1 species
GAUCUGCCCACCUUGGCCUCCCAAAGUGUUGGGAUUACAAGCGUGAGCCACCGUGCCCGGCCUGUGGGGCUCUAUCUUAAUUCUGCCUUUAAGGACCUAAUAAAUCACUUUACCUCUAGUUCCUGAGCUAUACAAUUAGUGGGCUGUGUUAUCCGAGCUCUGUGUCACUUAUUUAUGGCUGCUAACAAACCACCCCACAUCUUAGUGGCUUAAAGCAACACUGGUUUAUGAUUUCACAAUCCUGUGGGUUGACUGGGCUGUUGUUAGCGGGUCUCAACAGGUGGGACAGCCAGGGCUGGGCUCAUCUGGGACACCUGGGACUCUCUCACCUGGGUCUUUCAUCCUGGGCUUCUUCCUCUCAUGGUGGCCACAGGUGUUCCGAGGGGAUGAGGUUGGACACUACAAGGCCUGUGAAGGUGUAGGCUCUGAGGCUACAUAACUUCACUUCCACUGCAUUCUCUUGGUCAAAGCAGCAGACAAGGCUGCUCGGACACAAAGAGUGGAGAGACGCCUUCGUUGCUCUUGUCCCAUCUGUGUCCAGUUCAUUCCUACGAAGACAGCCACUCUCUAGGAGAGCCCCGACCAGGAAAGAAGUUAGUUUCAGGUGCAUCCGACUGGGGGAGACACAGAGGAGGCCUCUCAACAAAACAGGUAGCGAAUACGCCUUGGCGUCUAGAUGCCCAAUUAGCGGGAAGAAGAUGCAACUCCUGCACAUUCUUUGGUUAAUUAGAUCUGCUAUGAAAUCAUUCAUUUGAUGACCAUCCUAAUGAAUCUAAUAAAAGCCUCUUCUGAAGCCGUCUAUUCUUUGUACCUUAAGUACUGUACCUUGCUCAGCUACGCUGGCACCAGAGCUAACAGACUCAUUAUCUUCCAAAGUCUGAUGUCUGUUUUCAGGCUCCGCUGGUUUCAUUAGAUACAAAAUAA